AAAAAUCCUAAGAUUUCAUAACCUAAUUUAAUUUAAUUUUGGUUGAAUGUAAGUGAAAGACAUCAAUUUAAAUCAUAAGAUUGGUGUGUUGAAAUGAAAUAUUUUGAACUAGCAAAUCUUUAGUUAUACACAUAUAUUUUCUUUUGUCACUUGAAAUUUUAUUAUAAAAACUUGUUGUUGAACCAGAGAAGGAAUACAUAUGCCCAAAUAAGGGAAACUCAAGUCGGCAGACAACUAAAAGUCUCCGAAGACAUUGCCGGGGCAAAAAAGAAAUUCCCCGGAAAACAAAACCCUAUUGAAGGGAACCAGAGUAAAAUGAAACUGGAAAUACAAUGCAGAAAUGAUCAAAACACAAUCGAAAGAGGACGACUCUUAAAACUAAAAGCAGAGGCAACAAGGCAAAAACCUUAAGAAAACUGAUAGAACUAAGAGAACAGAGAAGCCUCUUCUUCUUUUGAAAGACCAGCAAAUGCGACUUAUCACGGCUGCCCACGGCCAAACCAGAAAUAAUAUCUACCACCUCCUAUCAAGUUGAGAACCAAUCUCUCGAGAACCAAGGAUAUCAGAAUCCGCCAAGCAAAGAGCAUUCAUAGAAACUCAUAGAACCUCGAAAACACUUCUGGAUGCGACGAAGACCGAAGCGUCACUUAACGUCUAGCUAGAAUCCUAAAAAAAGUGAUCAGAUCUAAACAGAUCUUGAAAGCAGGGACAAGGAGUGAGGCAGAACCUCUCAAAAAUCACCAUUCUUCGAAUGAGAGCGACAAAGGAUUGAGACAGUUAACAAACACCAAGGAGAAGAAAACUCUGUAAACUAUGAAGACUACCGUAACCAACCAAUAAACACGAAACUUCUGCUUAGAAAGGAAGCGAUCCCAAAGGGAGCCAAAGGCUGAGCGAGAAAUCAAAGGGAGCGAGGAAAGGCAAAGGAUUAGGAGAUAAACUACAAUCCAAAACCAAGUAAACUUGACGGCAAAGAAACGUUGAAAGGCUCAAGAGCAGCAACAAACUUUAAGGCAGGAAAGAGCAGAGAAGAGACCUCAUUCUCCGAGCCAUAGCGUAGAUCAACCAAAUUCGGAAUUACUAACAUCUUCUCUGAAGUCACAAAACCCAAAAGAAAUUACCGCAACGACCGCUUCCACAAACCCAAAAUCAAAAUCGAAACAAACCAAAAGACUUCCUAAUCGAUGGCCACAAAUUCUGCACUCAAAAACUAAACAACUAACCCUAUCUAGUCAAAGAAAGAGAACGACUAGAAGGUCAGCAAAACCGACCAGAAGAUACCAAGAACCCAUGGCCACAGAACCGAGAACAACCACCGACGAGACCCUAGCCAAGGCAGAAUCUGACAAUGGCAGAAAAUUCAUCUUCUACAACCCGUUGGGGGAAGGAGAAGGACGCUCUUGAAGAGAAGAACACCGAACAAACCUCACUGUGAAGACCCGUCUAACUCGCCAAGCAAACUACCUUCAACAUCGAACACCAGAACUAGAAGAGGGAGACAAGUCUACAACAAAAAAGAAAGAAGCAGCAGGGGCCCUCUCACGGCUACGAUGAGGAGCGCCGUUCACCGGAGAGGGCGAUUUGAAAUCUGGAGAUUUUUGGCGGCGGCUAGGGCAACCUUGUCUACAGAGAAACUUUUUUGUUUUAAUUAUACACAUAUUAUGUGACACAUUUCCAACACUAAAUAAAAUGACUAACUAAUUCAACACCAUAAAAACUCUAAAAGUCUCUCCUGUGCUGACACGUCACCUUUUUCAAGUGUUCUCAGCAUAACACCUCAUUAAAAUCAACAGCCAAUUAGAACAUUUCGAUUAAUACACUUCAUUUACGUUGACCAAUAAAAACUUACUAUUUUUCCAUGUCAUCUCAUCAACUUAACAAAAUUAAAAUUUGAUAUAGGCCUAACCCAACCAAACUAUUUUCAAAACUAAAAUUUAUAUAAAAACAUGGGCCUAAAAUUCUUAAAUAUAAAACUUAGACCUAGGCAAAUAAACCGAACCGAAUGUACCGAACCGAAACCGAUGCAAAAAAAAACUGAACCAAACUGAAAAUUUAAAAAUAAUCGAACGGAUAUUAAAUUCUAUAACCGAAAGAACCAAAACCGAAUGGAUACAAAUCAAAAUAUUUUAGGUAACCGAAAAUAUCUGAAAUAUAAUUAUAUUUCUUAAAAAAUAUUAGUUAUUUCUAAACUAAAUAAUUAAAAGUUAUUUAAUAGUAUAAAUACUCAAAAUACCAAAAACAUAUGAAAAU
rnacentral:sRNA from 1 species